rnacentral:rRNA from 1 species
GUUAUCUGAUCCUCUUUCGGAGGUGACGAUAAUGGAAUGAGCGGCGGACGGGUGAGUAACACGUAGGCAACCUGCCUGUAAGACUGGGAUAACUCGUGGAAACGCGAGCUAAUACCGGAUAACACUUUUCAUCUCCUGAUGAGAAGUUGAAAGGCGGCUUUUGCUGUCACUUACAGAUGGGCCUGCGGCGCAUUAGCUAGUUGGUAAGGUAACGGCUUACCAAGGCGACGAUGCGUAGCCGACCUGAGAGGGUGAUCGGCCACACUGGGACUGAGACACGGCCCAGACUCCUACGGGAGGCAGCAGUAGGGAAUCUUCCGCAAUGGACGAAAGUCUGACGGAGCAACGCCGCGUGAGUGAUGAAGGUUUUCGGAUCGUAAAACUCUGUUGUUAGGGAAGAACAAGUGCCAUAGUAACUGAUGGCACCUUGACGGUACCUAACCAGAAAGCCACGGCUAACUACGUGCCAGCAGCCGCGGUAAUACGUAGGUGGCAAGCGUUGUCCGGAAUUAUUGGGCGUAAAGCGCUCGCAGGCGGUUCUUUAAGUCUGAUGUGAAAUCUUACGGCUCAACCGUAAACGUGCAUUGGAAACUGGAGGACUUGAGUGCAGAAGAGGAGAGUGGAAUUCCACGUGUAGCGGUGAAAUGCGUAGAGAUGUGGAGGAACACCAGUGGCGAAGGCGACUCUCUGGUCUGUAACUGACGCUGAGGAGCGAAAGCGUGGGGAGCGAACAGGAUUAGAUACCCUGGUAGUCCACGCCGUAAACGAUGAGUGCUAGGUGUUAGGGGGUUUCCGCCCCUUAGUGCUGAAGU